AUUGAACGCUGGCGGCAUGCUUUACACAUGCAAGUCGAACGGCAGCGCGGGCUUCGGCCUGGCGGCGAGUGGCGAACGGGUGAGUAAUACAUCGGAACGUGCCCAGUAGUGGGGGAUAGCUCGGCGAAAGCCGGAUUAAUACCGCAUACGACCUGAGGGUGAGAGCGGGGGAUCUUCGGACCUCGCGCUAUUGGAGCGGCCGAUGGCAGAUUAGCUAGUUGGUGGGGUAAAGGCCUACCAAGGCGACGAUCUGUAGCUGGUCUGAGAGGACGAUCAGCCACACUGGGACUGAGACACGGCCCAGACUCCUACGGGAGGCAGCAGUGGGGAAUUUUGGACAAUGGGCGAAAGCCUGAUCCAGCAAUGCCGCGUGUGUGAUGAAGGCCUUCGGGUUGUAAAGCACUUUUGGCGGGAACGAAAAGGACUGUGCCAAUACCACGGUUCGAUGACGGUACCCGCAGAAUAAGCACCGGCUAACUACGUG
rnacentral:rRNA from 1 species